UACGGAGGGGGCUAGCGUUGUUCGGAAUUACUGGGCGUAAAAGCGCACGUAGGCGGCUUUUGUAAGUUAGAGGUGAAAGCCCGGGGCUCAACUCCGGAAUUGCCUUUAAGACUGCAUCGCUAGAAUUGUGGAGAGGUAAGUGGAAUUCCGAGUGUAGAGGUGAAAUUCGUAGAUAUUCGGAAGAACACCAGUGGCGAAGGCGACUUACUGGACACAUAUUGACGCUG
rnacentral:rRNA from 1 species